AUUGAACGCUGGCGGCAGGCCUAACACAUGCAAGUCGAGCGGAUGAAGGGAGCUUGCUCCUGGAUUCAGCGGCGGACGGGUGAGUAAUGCCUAGGAAUCUGCCUGGUAGUGGGGGAUAACGUCCGGAAACGGGCGCUAAUACCGCAUACGUCCUGAGGGAGAAAGUGGGGGAUCUUCGGACCUCACGCUAUCAGAUGAGCCUAGGUCGGAUUAGCUAGUUGGUGGGGUAAAGGCCUACCAAGGCGACGAUCCGUAACUGGUCUGAGAGGAUGAUCAGUCACACUGGAACUGAGACACGGUCCAGACUCCUACGGGAGGCAGCAGUGGGGAAUAUUGGACAAUGGGCGAAAGCCUGAUCCAGCCAUGCCGCGUGUGUGAAGAAGGUCUUCGGAUUGUAAAGCACUUUAAGUUGGGGGGAAGGGCAGUAAGUUAAUACCUUGCUGUUUUGACGUUACCAACAGAAUAAGCGCCGGCUAACUUCGUG
rnacentral:rRNA from 1 species